AAAAGGCAGGCGGUUUGCCGGAGCAACAAAGAGUCUUGAUUUUUAGAGGCAUGCAGGUUUUAAAGAAAGAAAACAGUGUUAUAAAGAAAGAAAAAGAUUGCAGAUGACACAGAGGGUUCAGGAACCAUAAAUUUUAUGUUGGUGUUUGAACUUCACCCUGAUAGACUUUGAGCACAUCAUAAGUUUUAGACCUAUGGACGAAAAUCUGGCAGUUGGAUGAUAAGGAAAACACAGCCAUGAUAAAUA